GAGCCUACCAUUAUUGUACAUAGUGCUGAUCUCUACUGCUGCUGGAUCUCUGUUGAUUGUAGUUGCAGUCGUGAUGUGCUGCAUCUGCAGGAAAUGUAGAAAAACAGUCCAAACCAAUGAAGAAGACUCUGAUUCAGCAUUGUAUAAACCUAAAACACACAAAAAGAAAUCAAAGACAAAUGCUGUGUAUGAAAAUGUCCCUAAAAAACGAUGAUCAAAUACGGUCUACUGGAACUGAUGAUAAAGCUCAUACAGGAAACUGCCUCACACAUUUUGGUUUAGUUCACAUUUAUUCUCCACCCAGACAGCUCAGUUUUAUUUAACCUAUCUUUUGAUUUCAUUUAGUUUUUUGUAUAUAUAAUUUUGAAUGACUGUGUGCCUCUCUUAAGUUGUUAUUUUGAUUUCCAAAAUAUUAUUGCUUUAAUUUGAUGCCUCACAAAUCACACAGUAUUCAGAAACUUUACUAAACGUUCUAUUGUAUGGAAAUGUAGUUUUUUUAUAAAAAUGAUUCCACCCUUCAGCGUGCCCUUUUGUCUGUCAUUUAUGGCUCUUAAUUUAUUCUUAUUAGACAAUUUCACUGAACAUUAAAGGGUUAGUUCACCCAAUAAUCGACUUUAUUCAUCAUUGUCUUCUCUUCCAU